UUAUAUAUUGUUAUAUGUAGUCACGGCUGGCCUUGAACUUCUGAUCCUAUGGUCUCCGCUGCCUCCUGAGUGCUAGGAUUACAGACUUGUACCGUAAUACCUGGCCAAGGCUUGCUUGCUUCUUUUGUUGACCUUGAGGACAGUAACUAUGACUUCUCUGCGCUGAGAGCAGAAGGCCUAGAACCUAUGAGGUAUCCUAAGGAAUGAUCUCCAGUCACAAAACAAAAUCAUAGCAAAUUUCGUUUCAAGAUGGAAUUGAUGUUUUUAUUAGCAGUCUGGGAGCGAGAGUCACUGAUGAGCAGAACUUUUCCAUCACAAGGUCAAUAAAAGCACAAUUAAGGAAUAAAAACUAGAUAGGCUAUCUCAAAGCGAGUUCAUAUGGAACUAAAACAGAACUCGCUGCUCUUUGUAGCUCAGGUGAAUAGUAGCUGUGGGGACUGGAUGCUGUGCACGCCCAGUGUUUUGGAAAACUGGUUGGUUUCUAAGUCCAGGCUUAUCGUGUAGCACAUAGUCUGUCACCAUGGUGGCUGUUCUUGGUUGUCAACUUUGACUUCAUCUGGAAUUAGCUAAAAACCAAGUAGGUGGGUACACCUGUGAGGGUUUUUUUCUUAAUUAAAUCCUUGGAAGAGGAAAAAACCUACUUUUAAUUUGAAUCGUUUGGGGUGGGAAGGUACACAUUUAAUCCAAAUCUUUUGAGGCGAGAGGAUCCACCUUUAAUCUGGGGCACACUUUCUAGUGGCAGCCUGUAUGAAGGACAUGGAAGAAGGAAGCUUGCUCUCUUGCCUGCUUGUUCUCACUCUCAGUGAAUGGCAAGUCCAUUCUGUCACUAUCAUUACAGUCUACUACUUUGGGAUUCUGGUACAUACUGAAGACCAGCUGAAUCAUCUAGCCUUGCAAACUGAACUACUACUGGAUUCCUGAACCUUCCACUGAUAGACAGCCAUUGUGGACUAGCUGGACUUCAGCCUGGGACAUCAGUGCUUGUAAUUCUAAGUCCCAGUACCUCAGUGGACCGUGCCACCUAGUCUCAAGCUUACGUGUUCGCAGUUGCAUGAGGGACAGUUCUACCAUGCCAAGCGUAAUCACCAACGGGCUAAAUAGCUGCCUCAUGCUCCUGCCACUGAAUCAUCCCAGAACACUACCCUGAAACUGUGAAGGCAGAACAAACCUUCCUUCCCUGUACUAUCAGGAAUUGGUUUCAGCACUGAGAAAAGUUACCAGAAUGGACUUGAAUUUGGCAACUUGGCAACAGAUUAGUCAACCUGAUCCUUGGAAAUCAGACUCACCAAACUCUCGAGUGUUUUAGUUCCUGUUACUAUACACUUUCUGCAUAGUCCGGUUGCCGCAGACCACCCAGGGGAGUGUGUCAGCAGAGUGACCAAGGCUUGGAUUUCAGGUAGAGAACGGAUUCGUCGCGACAGACAGAUCCAAACUCGAGAUAUUGUUGACAGGCUUAAAGUUGCUAAGAUCACCAAGGCUAGAACACAGAAGGCACCUCCACCGCAAGCGUAGACCCUGGU
rnacentral:lncRNA from 1 species